rnacentral:tRNA from 1 species
UCCUAGAUAGCUCAGUUGGUAAAGAAUCUGCCUGCAAUGCAGGAGACCCUGGGUUUGAUUCCUGGGUUGAGAA